GACGAACGCUGGCGGCGUGCUUAACACAUGCAAGUCGAACGGGCCUUGUCCCCUUUUUUUUUGGGGGUGGGGUUAGUGGCGAACGGGUGAGUAACACGUGAGUAACCUGCCCCUCACUUCUGGAUAACCGCUUGAAAGGGUGGCUAAUACGGGGUGUUCUGGCCUGCUCGCAUGGGUGGGUUUGGAAAGAUUCGACCGGUUUUGGUUGUUUUGGGGGGGGAUGGGCUCGCGGCCUAUCAGCUUGUUGGGGGGGUGAUGGCCUGCCAAGGCUUUGACGGGUAGCCGGCCUGAGAGGGUGGGCGGUCACACUGGGACUGAGACACGGCCCAGACUCCUACGGGAGGCAGCAGUGGGGAAUAUUGCACAAUGGGCGCAAGCCUGAUGCAGCGACGCCGCGUGAGGGAUGGAGGCCUUCGGGUUGUGAACCUCUUUCGCCAGUGAAGAAGGUCCUGCUCUUUGUGGUGGGGUUGACGGUAGCUGGGUUAAUGAAGCGCCGGCUAACUACGUG
rnacentral:rRNA from 1 species